rnacentral:rRNA from 1 species
ACGGCUCAGUAACACGUGGAUAACCUGCCCUUGGGUCUGGGAUAACCCCGGGAAACUGGGGAUAAUACCGGAUAACGCAUAUAUGCUGGAAUGCUUUAUGCGUAAAAUGGAUUCGUCUGCCCAAGGAUGGGUCUGCGGCCUAUCAGGUAGUAGUGGGUGUAAUGUACCUACUAGCCUACAACGGGUACGGGUUGUGAGAGCAAGAGCCCGGAGAUGGAUUCUGAGACAUGAAUCCAGGCCCUACGGGGCGCAGCAGGCGCGAAAACUUUACAAUGCGGGAAACCGUGAUAAGGGGACACCGAGUGCCAGCAUCAUAUGUUGGCUGUCCAGAUGUGUAAAAUACAUCUGUUAGCAAGGGCCGGGCAAGACCGGUGCCAGCCGCCGCGGUAACACCGGCGGCCCGAGUGGUGAUCGUGAUUAUUGGGUCUAAAGGGUCCGUAGCCGGUUUGGUCAGUCCUCCGGGAAAUCUGACGGCUCAACCGUUAGGCUUUCGGUGGAUACUGCCAGACUUGGAACCGGGAGAGGUAAGAGGUACUACAGGGGUAGGAGUGAAAUCUUGUAAUCCCUGUGAGACCACCUGUGGCGAAGGCGUCUUACCAGAACGGGUUCGACGGUGAGGGACGAAAGCUGGGGGCACGAACCGGAUUAGAUACCCGGGUAGUCCCAGCCGUAAACGAUGCUCGCUAGGUGUCAGGCAUGGCGCGACCGUGUCUGGUGCCGCAGGGAAGCCGUGAAGCGAGCCACCUGGGAAGUACGGCCGCAAGGCUGAAACUUAAAGGAAUUGGCGGGGGAGCAC